GGGUGGAAGUUUAUUGAGGGCCUCCGUUCUUUUGUUCAUAAUUGGAAGGAUAGAUUUUCCUUUAUUUUCUUCGAUCUAUCCUAGGGCUUCAAUUGGAUGGGAUGAACCUAAGCUUUCUCUGAACAAGGAGAAUCAGCCCUCCCCAGGGAUGAGGAAGAUUUCCACAAGUUGCUUGACAUAGAGGUGUCGAAGUUGGGCAAUCUCAUGUCUGAGUAAAUGCUCUACAAUGUCACCUCAGUCCAGCUCUUCCUCAAGGUAUGACCAAGUCCAUUAGUUUUGUUUCAUUAGCUGCUUGGUCCUCGUUUAGCUGCUUAGACAUUUUCUUGUCAUUUUCAAUUUUGCAGCGAUGAGGUCUGUGCUUGACGAGAUCAGAUUGUCCUUCAAAAAAAGGAGGCCGAGUUCCACUUCGAAGCGAGGUGCUCCAAAGAAAAAAAGGCCUACGAUGACUUCUUCAGCCCC
rnacentral:lncRNA from 1 species